rnacentral:rRNA from 1 species
AUUGAACGCUGGCGGCAGGCCUAACACAUGCAAGUCGAACGGUAACAGGAAACUGCUUGCUGUUUCUCUGAUGAGUGGCGGUCGGGUGAGUAAUGUCUGGGAAACUGCCUGAUGGAGGGGGAUAACUACUGGAAACGGUAGCUAAUACCGCAUAACGUCGCAAGACCAAAGAGGGGGAACUUCGGGCCUCUUGCCAUCGGAUGUGCCCAGAUGGGAUUAUCUAGUAGGUGUGGUAACGGCUCACCUAGGCGACGAUCCGUAGCUGGUCUGAGAGGAUGAUGAGACAAACUAGAACUGAGACACGGGCCAGACUCCUACGGGAGGCAGAAGAGGGGAAUAAUGCAGAAUGGGCGCAAGCCUGAAGCAGCCAUGCCGAGGGUAUGAAGAAGGCAUUCGGGUUGUAAAGUACUUUCAGCGGGGAGGAAGGGAGUAAAGUUAAUAAAUUUACUUAUUGACGUUACAAGCAGAAGAAGAACAGGCUAACUCCGUG